UGUGGUCAUUAUCCUCAUGGUGGUUUCCUGUGUUUAUCCAGUGAAAGUACAGUCCCAGUCACUGAAGAACUUCCUAAAAACUUCUAAAUUAGAAGAAAAAGGAGUUUAAGAUAUUAGAGUCCAAAAGACUGAGAAUAUGAAAAAAAUGCUCCAAGAGAUCUUAGACUACCCUGCUCCUUCCAGCUGGAAACAGAGACCAUGGCCAUGAAUUUCCGGGGAGUACUACUUAAUUUAGAUGACAUCAUCAUCAUCUUUGGGGCCUUGGAAGAGCCUGAAAAUCCUCUCCUCAAGGCAAUGGACUUCCUUGGAUUUGUCCUGUGACAAAUGUCCAUUCUUCUAAGCCUCAAGCAAAAUCUGCUUCCCUGCCAUCCUGCUUCAGGCCAGAUUCACCAAUGAGAGGCACCAGCAAGAGAUCCAUGGAGCAGGAAGAAAAGAAACGUAUUCUCCCAAAACCCUUCCUUCCUGCCAGGCUGAUGUAGAUUGGCUGCUUCUCUCUACUGAAGACCCAGGUGCUGUCAGGUUCCAACGAACACUUCUUCCUUUGUGCCUGUUCCUUCACAUCUAUGGGUAGCAAUACCUCAUAUAAUUGUCAAUCUCCAAGGUACUGCACCACCCCUUGUUUCUUUUCUUA